GGANCUUGCUCCCUGAUGUUACGGCGGACGGGUGAGUACACGUGGGUACCUGCCUGUAAGACUGGGAUAACUCCGGGAAACCGGGGCUAAUACCGGAUGGUUGUUUGAACCGCAUGGUUCAAACAUAAAAGGUGGCUUCGGCUACCACUUACAGAUGGACCCGCGGCGCAUUAGCUAGUUGGUGAGGUAACGGCUCACCAAGGCAACGAUGCGUAGCCGACCUGAGAGGGUGAUCGGCCACACUGGGACUGAGACACGGCCCAGACUCCUACGGGAGGCAGCAGUAGGGAAUCUUCCGCAAUGGACGAAAGUCUGACGGAGCAACGCCGCGUGAGUGAUGAAGGUUUUCGGAUCGUAAAGCUCUGUUGUUAGGGAAGAACAAGUACCGUUCGAAUAGGGCGGUACCUUGGACGGUACCUAACCAGAAAGCCACGGCUAACUACGUGCCAGCAGCCGCGGUAAUACGUAAGUGGCAANCGUUGUC
rnacentral:rRNA from 1 species